CAUGACCGCUGACUUAGUGUUAAUGCAAAGUGCAAGUCUAUCCCUCUCUUGACCCUAACAGGCUGCAGCACAUCCGUCAGUACGGUUCAGGAACACUCUUCACUCCGCUGGUAACCCAUAGUGGCUUAUCCACUACUUCUCCGUAUGGCAGUCUACCCAUAAAGACGGACGCUGUCUCUGUACUGUCCCUUCCUAGACUUUCUGCACUUCAUCAGUAUAAGGGAGAGUUUGUAGCGGAAUACAGGGUGAGAUGAGAUCUUGAUCAUCGAUUGUCAGAUGAGUGAAGGUUGGUGUUGCUUGGUCUACAGUUUUCUGCAGGAAUUUCC